GUUAAUGGAUUGUUUUCAUCAUUGCCAUUAGAUCUCUUUGUAAGUUAUUUAUUUGAUAGCUUAUUCUUUUACUAAAAACUCGCAUCUUCACAAGUCCUUGAACUCAUUUUGAACCGUUUGGUAGUUUCUAUCUAUAAAUCUCUUGCUGCUUAAGAUCUUAUCUGCCUUUGCUGUUUUAAGUGCAUCACAGUUUUCCAACUGUGGGGUAAGAUGGUGCUUUUAAUUUCUAGGACAAAGACAGUAAACAGAAGUACUAGUGCCACAUGAUCAUAUAUGCAUGAAUGCCUCUUCUAUUAUGUUCCAUUUGGUGCAUUGGAGACCUACAGGAGUGACUUCCGCAGAUAUUGAAGGUGACAAUCACGAAAGCAUAGUUUUAAUUGUCAUUUUUUCUCCCAAUUUUCAUGCUGUUUUUAUGGAGUAUUGAUUUCGGCUUCUGUGGUUUUAAAGUUCCAGAUAUUAAAUUUCCAUAUUACUUCCUCAAAAAUAUAAUUAAUAGAUGUAUUAGAUGAUUCAUGAUUGCAAGUUUUGAACCCAACAAAUCCAGUCUUAUUUAUUGAUACAGGUCAAUAAGCAGACAAUAAUUUAUACUCUUGUUGGCAUACAAGAGUAUAAACUGAUCUGUUCUGGAGGGAGACAUUGCAACACUUUCAAAUAAUAGAUAGUCAAACACGAUAUAUUAAUCUAAGCAAUAUUGUUUUAAUAAUUUUAUUUUUUUUCCUUCAUGGAUUGUCAAAGAACAGUGCAAAAUUACAGUUUCUCUUGGUUAGGUAGCUGAUUUAAUUAGUAGUUUGCCUUAAGCUCUCCCAACUACUGGAUUAUCAGUGUAACAUCGAUGAUGAUUUUGAUGUGUACUGGUGGAGUUCUUCAUUGUAUGCAAUAAAUUUGUUCUCUAUGAUUCCUUUGGUCCAUGGUGAGUAAGUAAAAAUGCUGAAAACUUUUGUAUGAGAAAGUCACAUCUAUGACUGAUGGAUCAUGGUUCCCUUAUAACUGUUUUUUCCUUAUUCAAGGACAAUAUUAGUCUUUUGAGUUUUUUGAGUACUUCAAUGACAAGAAUUUUCUGCAUUGUUUAUGACUUUUUCUUUAAAUUUUGUGAAUAAAUCCCAGUGUUUGGGUGCCUUUUGUUGUAUCAUCAACGCUUAUAAUUGUCUUUGAUAAAAGUGG